GGUUAAGCGACUAAGCGUACACGGUGGAUGCCCUGGCAGUCAGAGGCGAUGAAGGACGUGCUAAUCUGCGAUAAGCGUCGGUAAGGUGAUAUGAACCGUUAUAACCGGCGAUUUCCGAAUGGGGAAACCCAGUGUGUUUCGACACACUAUCAUUAACUGAAUCCAUAGGUUAAUGAGGCGAACCGGGGGAACUGAAACAUCUAAGUACCCCGAGGAAAAGAAAUCAACCGAGAUUCCCCCAGUAGCGGCGAGCGAACGGGGAGCAGCCCAGAGCCUGAAUCAGUGUGUGUGUUAGUGGAAGCGUCUGGAAAGGCGCGCGAUACAGGGUGACAGCCCCGUACACAAAAAUGCACAUGCUGUGAGCUCGAUGAGUAGGGCGGGACACGUGGUAUCCUGUCUGAAUAUGGGGGGACCAUCCUCCAAGGCUAAAUACUCCUGACUGACCGAUAGUGAACCAGUACCGUGAGGGAAAGGCGAAAAGAACCCCGGCGAGGGGAGUGAAAAAGAACCUGAAACCGUGUACGUACAAGCAGUGGGAGCACGCUUCGGCGUGUGACUGCGUACCUUUUGUAUAAUGGGUCAGCGACUUAUAUUCUGUAGCAAGGUUAACCGAAUAGGGGAGCCGAAGGGAAACCGAGUCUUAACUGGGCGUUAAGUUGCAGGGUAUAGACCCGAAACCCGGUGAUCUAGCCAUGGGCAGGUUGAAGGUUGGGUAACACUAACUGGAGGACCGAACCGACUAAUGUUGAAAAAUUAGCGGAUGACUUGUGGCUGGGGGUGAAAGGCCAAUCAAACCGGGAGAUAGCUGGUUCUCCCCGAAAGCUAUUUAGGUAGCGCCUCGUGAAUUCAUCUCCGGGGGUAGAGCACUGUUUCGGCAAGGGGGUCAUCCCGACUUACCAACCCGAUGCAAACUGCGAAUACCGGAGAAUGUUAUCACGGGAGACACACGGCGGGUGCUAACGUCCGUCGUGAAGAGGGAAACAACCCAGACCGCCAGCUAAGGUCCCAAAGUCAUGGUUAAGUGGGAAACGAUGUGGGAAGGCCCAGACAGCCAGGAUGUUGGCUUAGAAGCAGCCAUCAUUUAAAGAAAGCGUAAUAGCUCACUGGUCGAGUCGGCCUGCGCGGAAGAUGUAACGGGGCUAAACCAUGCACCGAAGCUGCGGCAGCGACGCUGAUGCGUUGUUGGGUAGGGGAGCGUUCUGUAAGCCUGCGAAGGUGUGCUGUGAGGCAUGCUGGAGGUAUCAGAAGUGCGAAUGCUGACAUAAGUAACGAUAAAGCGGGUGAAAAGCCCGCUCGCCGGAAGACCAAGGGUUCCUGUCCAACGUUAAUCGGGGCAGGGUGAGUCGACCCCUAAGGCGAGGCCGAAAGGCGUAGUCGAUGGGAAACAGGUUAAUAUUCCUGUACUUGGUGUUACUGCGAAGGGGGGACGGAGAAGGCUAUGUUGGCCGGGCGACGGUUGUCCCGGUUUAAGCGUGUAGGCUGGUUUUCCAGGCAAAUCCGGAAAAUCAAGGCUGAGGCGUGAUGACGAGGCACUACGGUGCUGAAGCAACAAAUGCCCUGCUUCCAGGAAAAGCCUCUAAGCAUCAGGUAACAUCAAAUCGUACCCCAAACCGACACAGGUGGUCAGGUAGAGAAUACCAAGGCGCUUGAGAGAACUCGGGUGAAGGAACUAGGCAAAAUGGUGCCGUAACUUCGGGAGAAGGCACGCUGAUAUGUAGGUGAAGCGACUUGCUCGUGGAGCUGAAAUCAGUCGAAGAUACCAGCUGGCUGCAACUGUUUAUUAAAAACACAGCACUGUGCAAACACGAAAGUGGACGUAUACGGUGUGACGCCUGCCCGGUGCCGGAAGGUUAAUUGAUGGGGUCAGCGCAAGCGAAGCUCUUGAUCGAAGCCCCGGUAAACGGCGGCCGUAACUAUAACGGUCCUAAGGUAGCGAAAUUCCUUGUCGGGUAAGUUCCGACCUGCACGAAUGGCGUAAUGAUGGCCAGGCUGUCUCCACCCGAGACUCAGUGAAAUUGAACUCGCUGUGAAGAUGCAGUGUACCCGCGGCAAGACGGAAAGACCCCGUGAACCUUUACUAUAGCUUGACACUGAACAUUGAGCCUUGAUGUGUAGGAUAGGUGGGAGGCUUGGAAGUGUGGACGCCAGUCUGCAUGGAGCCGACCUUGAAAUACCACCCUUUAAUGUUUGAUGUUCUAACGU
rnacentral:rRNA from 1 species